rnacentral:lncRNA from 1 species
GAGACCAAGGUCAUAAUAAUGCCCAAUUUGAGUUCUUGUGGCUCAAGAUGAACUGCCUCUGAAAGCAUAAACACGGAUACGACAUGAUAUGGACAUGCUAACACAAUAAGUUCUAGAAAAGCAAGAAAGUACACCUUGACAACAUGUUAAUGAUAGAGAAUGAUUGGACAUUUGGCUUGUGUUUAUAACGUUCUGGAUGCUGGGUCUCCCGAUAUUGAAUACCUUGUGCAUGUGAAGUCGCAUUGUUUUCAUAUGAUUAUGUGAAAUUUCGCAUUGCCUCAUGGAGACAAGUCAAAAUUAUGUCUUAAGGCCAAUUCAAAGGUACCAGAUACUCUCAUUAACCAAGCGAACCACAUAUUGAUACUUAUGUACCACUACUUUAAAUUUACCGUACCAAUUUUUUGUUGUUGUUUUAACUAUAAUUGCACAAACAUCCAUAUUCUAACCUAGCAUUGGAUGCUCAAGCAUUACAUUUGUACUACAUUAUUUAUAAAACCGCCAACUUGUUGACGCAACUAAAUUUUUGUUAAAAAAACAUAGGUUUAUUAACAUUUAGAUUUUAAGAAAAUUUCUAAAUAUAAGCACUAAUAUAAAGACAUCAUAGCGUACCGUGUUUUAGUUAUGUAGCAUAUUGUGUACUCGUAUUGUUCAACAAAUCAAAACGAACCACGUUCCAUGGAACGCUGGGCCAAUCCGGCAGUGGUUCCAUCUGCUCUGCAACCAUGGCCCCAAAAUUUACACAUAUAAAAUGUCCCAGUGCUGCCUGCUAGUAAUGAGGACUGAAUUUAUUUUGCUGGUGAGCCUGCAUUACUUGCUACUGCCUCGCAACCACGGGCACAUAAUUUACAACCAUGAACUGUCCAAUCGCUGCCUACUGGUGGUGAGGACACCUGGUGC